UUUGCUUUGGCAGCACAUACACCAAUUGGAACAAUACAGAGAAUGUAAGCAUGGCUUCUGCGCAAGGAUGACAUGCAAAUUCGUGAAGCUUUCCAUAUAUAU